rnacentral:rRNA from 1 species
CCUACGGGAGGCAGCAGUGGGGAAUCUUGCGCAAUGGGCGAAAGCCUGACGCAGCCAUGCCGCGUGAAUGAUGAAGGUCUUAGGAUUGUAAAAUUCUUUCACCGGGGACGAUAAUGACGGUACCCGGAGAAGAAGCCCCGGCUAACUUCGUGCCAGCAGCCGCGGUAAUACGAAGGGGGCUAGCGUUGCUCGGAAUUACUGGGCGUAAAGGGAGCGUAGGCGGAUAGUUUAGUCAGAGGUGAAAGCCCAGGGCUCAACCUUGGAAUUGCCUUUGAUACUGGCUAUCUUGAGUGUGGGAGAGGUAUGUGGAACUCCGAGUGUAGAGGUGAAAUUCGUAGAUAUUCGGAAGAACACCAGUGGCGAAGGCGACAUACUGGCCCAUUACUGACGCUGAGGCUCGAAAGUGUGGGGAGCAAACAGGAUUAGAUACCCUGGUAGUCCACGCUGUAAACGAUGAGUGCUAGUUGUCGGCAGGCAUGCCUGUCGGUGACGCAGCUACGACAUAAGUACACUCCGCCGUCGGGGAGGGUACGGUCGGCGAAGAAGUUAAAACUUAACUAAAGAAAGUUAGUACGGCGUUGAGACGNGCCGACGGACGACACGAGGGAGGAGG